GAUGAACGCUAGCGGGAGGCCUAACACAUGCAAGCCGAGCGGUAGAGUUUCUUCGGAAACUUGAGAGCGGCGCACGGGUGCGUAACACGUGUGCAACCUACCUUUAUCUGGGGGAUAGCCUUUCGAAAGGAAGAUUAAUACCCCAUAAUAUAAUGAUUGGCAUCAAUUAUUAUUGAAAACUCCGGUGGAUAGAGAUGGGCACGCGCAAGAUUAGAUAGUUGGUGAGGUAACGGCUCACCAAGUCAAUGAUCUUUAGGGGUCCUGAGAGGGAGAUCCCCCACGCUGGUACUGAGACACGGACCAGACUCCUACGGGAGGCAGCAGUGAGGAAUAUUGGACAAUGGGUGAGAGCCUGAUCCAGCCAUCCCGCGUGAAGGAUGACGGUCCUAUGGAUUGUAAACUUCUUUUGUACAGGGAUAAACCUACCCUCGUGAGGGUAGCUGAAGGUACUGUACGAAUAAGCACCGGCUAACUCCGUG
rnacentral:rRNA from 1 species